rnacentral:rRNA from 1 species
CAGUAGCCGCGGGAAUACGUAGGGUGCGAGCGUUAAUCGGAAUUACUGGGCGUAAAGCGUGCGCAGGCGGUUCGUUAAGACAGAUGUGAAAUCCCCGGGCUUAACCUGGGAACUGCAUUUGUGACUGGCGAGCUAGAGUAUGGCAGAGGGGGGUAGAAUUCCACGUGUAGCAGUGAAAUGCGUAGAGAUGUGGAGGAAUACCGAUGGCGAAGGCAGCCCCCUGGGCCAAUACUGACGCUCAUGCACGAAAGCGUGGGGAGCAAACAGGAUUAGAUACCCGGGUAGUCCCUGUCUCUUAUAC